rnacentral:rRNA from 1 species
AAUCAACGCUGGCGGCGCGCUUAACACAUGCAAGUCGCACGAGAAAGGGGAGCAAUCCCUGAGUAAAGUGGCGUACGGGUGAGUAACACGUGGAUAAUCUACCUUCUAGUGGGGAAUAACCCAGGGAAACCGGGGCUAAUACCGCAUAAGCUCGAGAGAGGAAAGCAGCAAUGCGCUGGAAGAGGAGUCCGCGGCCGAUUAGCUAGUUGGUAGGGUAAAAGCCUACCAAGGCUGAGAUCGGUAGCCGGCCUGAGAGGGCACACGGCCACACUGGCACUGAAACACGGGCCAGACUCCUACGGGAGGCAGCAGUGGGGAAUCUUGCACAAUGGGGGAAACCCUGAUGCAGCGACGCCGCGUGAGCGAUGAAGCCCUUCGGGGUGUAAAGCUCUUUCGGCAGGGAAGAUUAUGACGGUACCUGCAGAAGCAGCUGCGGCUAACUACGUGCCAGCAGCCGCGGUAAUACGUAGGCAGCGAGCGUUGUUCGGAGUUACUGGGCGUAAAGGGUGUGUAGGCGGUUGUUUAAGUUUGGCGUGAAAUCUCCCGGCUCAACUGGGAGGGUGCGUCGAAUACUGAAUGACUUGGAGUGCGGGAGAGGAAAGUGGAAUUCCUGGUGUAGCGGUGAAAUGCGUAGAUAUCAGGAGGAACACCGGUGGUGUAGACGGCUUUCUGGACCGUAACUGACGCUGAGACACGAAAGCGUGGGUAGCAAACAGGAUUAGAUACCCUGGUAGUCCACGCCCUAAACGAUGCAUAUUUGGUGUGGGCAGUUCAUUCUGUCCGUGCCGGAGCUAACGCGUUAAAUAUGCCGCCUGGGGAGUACAGUCGCAAGGCUG